CUAGGCCUGGAAGACCUCGAGGACCGCUAGCGCCGUGGGGUCACCCUUCCUCAUGCCACAGGUUGCCAAGCCUCGGGGGAGAGGUGGGGUCCCAGGGUCCAACCCUUGGGUGUAUUGAUGGCGGCAGGCUAACCUAGCCAACGGGGUGCCGCUGCUGGGAGAGGCGAGGAGCAAGAAGAUUUCCAGGGCUGGGAGGUAGAGGGCCGGGACUACGAGGAGAGGGCUUACUGCGAGGAGCAGCCCAGGAUGGCUAAGGAGUUGAGGCUCCAGGGAUGCUGAGCCUGCACAAGUGGAAGACUUCAGUGUGCUGAAAGUUCUCCCAUUGAGAGCACUUAUGCAGUUGGGUAACUAUCUACAUGAAAGUGACAUUUGCUCAUCUGUCUUUCUUGCUGAAGUUAUCGUCUAAAGGAUAUGUUGAAGCCGACCUCUUCCUCCCCAAAGACAGCGUGUCAGGAAAAUGAAGCCUUUCUUUGUAUCUCCCUGUGGGGGAUUUCCUCACUGCAUAGGUGUGUACUUGGCUGCACAUUUGUCCUGGGCAUUUUGCUGGACCCACAUAUCAAUGAUGAGAGAAGAAGCCGUGGCCUAGGGCCUCCAUGCAAAUGCAGGCUGAUGGCAUGGUUAGGGGAGCAGAGCCUGGUUCCUGUGAGUGCUAGGAGUGUUCUGAAGCGACCACCCAUCUUUUGAGCCCCCUUUCAAGACUCCCAAGUUGAUUGUUGGUGAUUUCCCCCAUUGCCAAGUCAGAGUGGACAUUUUCCUCAGACGGUGCCCCAGUGGACUGCAGCUCUGCCCUCCUGACAGAAGGCACAUUGGGAACAUGCAGAGCCCACAUCCAGGGUGAUGGCAGUUGUCACCAUCCAUGUGGAAAGACCUGGCCCCGGCCAGCUGCUGGGCCUCUUUGCACUGUAUUAAUAGCAAGGCCGUGGGGCCCACUGAGGUCGGGAGACAGAGAGGGAAGGAGGACAGCUGUGGCAGACAUCACCCCAUGCUCCAGACAUGUGCACCCGUCACAGGCAUACAGAUGGCCACACCUUGACCUGCUGCUCCAGAGCCCCCCAAGCCCCUGCCAGCCUUCUCCUUGUAGGGGCAGGAAUUGGCUCGCACUGACGACCCAUUUGACAGAGGAGCCAAAUUAAGAAUGGCAUGAUUGGAAUAGAGGGUUCCAGUGGCCCCAUGUUCAGGGUCAGUUUACGCUUUUAUUGGACGCACAUGGGCAUGGGGGCCGAAAAUGAGGCAGUGGUAUUUAAACAGCUGGGGGUAUUGGGUUCUAUAUGCCAAGGCUGGACAGAUAUUUUUAAAUGUCACAGGCCAAAUGGAAGCUCAGUUGGCAACAGGAUGGAGGGGCAGGGGGAUUUGGAGGCCACUGCAUUGCCGUGGCUAGAUAUGGCCAGGAGAGCUGAGUAGGAUUAGGGCCUGGGAAGAAGCCAGCCUGGGAAGUGCCCAUGAAGAGGGAGCAGGAAGGAUCAUAUGAGAAAGCGGUAGGCGCCGGGGUGGCAGGCAGGCAAGAGUGCAGGUGCUGGAGCCAGGGGCGGACAGAACUGUGUGAAAGCACCAAGGACAGGGCCAGAGGAGCCAGGUCAGAGCCCAGCCCUAGCUCAGGGGAAUGCAUAGGGAGCAGAGCUGGUGGGUCAGGGCCCUGUUCUGGCAUCAGAGAGAUGUGAGCGCUAACCUUAGCACCCCACUUUCCACCCUGGGGCCUUGGGGCUACUUAUUUAUCUGCCAAGGCAGUUUCCUGACUUCAGGGAAGGGGCCAGGAGAGGAUUAAGUAAGAACAAGCAGCACCUGACACUCAGAAAAGUGUCCCUAAAUGAUCGCCACCAUUAUUAAUAGUACAAAUUAAUGGGUGGCCAGCCUCCAUUGUGUGAUGAAGCCGGAAGCUGCUCUCCAGGCCUGCUCUCUCCCAGAGACACGGUGCGUUUCAGCCACAUAGGAGUUCUUCUAAGGGUAAAUGAUGAUAAUCACCAACAGUUAGGUGUCAGCAGAUUUUACAGAAGCCUUUGGCCAUUUGACUUCUCCUGGCCUCUAGUUUUCUGGGGCCUGCCUCUUCCUGUCCAUGGACAACCGUAGCUGGGGGGCGACCGCCCCCUGUCGGCCAGCAGCACACACACCCCCGUGCCUGCCACCACCUGUGCCUGUCACUCAUCUAUGAGUGGGGCCUGGCCUCCGUAGGCAUUUGCACUUGCUCUCCCUGCAGUAAAGUGGAGCUAUUAUUAUCUUAUAAGAAACAAGGGUCAUCAUCAGAAUUGGGCAGGGACCCAGCAACUGAGUUCUGGCCGGGGCCUCCUUGCCUUUGCUGUGACAUUGGUCUGGGCGACCUGGGCUGAUGGAUGAGCACUGAGUGGCCAGACCUGGGGAGCCAUCAUGGCUGCCUGCUUUCCUCUUGGUGGGCCCCGUAGUGAGCUGAGCAGAAACACAACAUGGCUAGGGCAGUUACCGUGGCCACCUAACAUCUGUGCGUCCCUUGGCCUCCCUCAUUCUUGUCAGGAUAGGGAUGACUUAGGAAAGCUGGAGGAGGCCCAGGCUGCUCUGAAACCUGGGCCUUGCUUUUCAGCCCAAGGGAUUCAAGAGAGGAGGAGGUAAGGGAGGAGGGGAGUUUCUACUGGGGCUCUUGUGGGCCUCAUGUGGCCCCUGAGUUAAUCCCUAUUCGUAUUCAGAAUUCCCUCCUUUUCCUUGGUGGGUCAGAGUUCUCUCUUGCUCAUCCAGGCCUGAGAGAAGAAUCCAUGGCAGUUGUGACCACAGCUAGGCCUUAACUCCUUCAGGGCCAUGUACAUGAAGGCUCAGAAGAUCCCCUCAUCUUCUGAAGAAGUGAGAGUCUCCUCCUGUGGGCUUCCAAGGGACACUGUGGUUAGCCAUGCUCGCACAGCCUGCCCCAUGCUCAGGCUUCUUGGCACAGAGAAGCCCUUCCUGAUUUAUGGUGCCUACCAUGUUCUAGGCAUUAGAGAAAUGCAUUAAUUUACUCUUCCUAGCAAGCUUGUGGGGAAACUGAGGCACACACUGGUCAAAUGGUUUGCCCAAGGCCACACAGCAGGAAAGUCGUGGAGUCUGGAUUUGAACUCCAGUGGUUAGUCAGGCUCCAGAGGUUGCCUUUCAAACCACUGUCCUCAAAUGCUGCCUGGAAAAUGAUGGAGCUGAUGGCGGGGUCCGAGGUGAUGCUCUGGUGAGUCGGGAGCCUGCCAAGUCACAGGAGCUGGGGAAAGAGCCCACUGGACAGAGGGGACAGCCAGUGGAAAGGCCCUGAGGUGGGAAAGAGCUGGCCAUGAGCUGUAGGGAAGCAUUCCUUCCAGUCUGGCUGCAGGAAGUGAGCAGGGGCAGGGGAAGGAGCUGGGGUAGCUGAGGAGGCAGCACCGUAAGGGCAGCCUGUGGCCGUGGCACUGGGGUCUGAUUCCAAGUGCAGUGGGAGGCCCUGAGGCUUCUGACCAGGACCCUGCUGGCCUGAAGGUCUCCCCGACUAGGAGAUGGGAUUCUCGUGGCAAGAGGAGAGCCGGGAGAGCAGGAGCUGAGCUGCCCCACACUGGGUAGCUGGGGUCUGUUCACUGAAGGGUAUCUGAUAUGGUUUGGCUCUGUGUCCCCACCCAAAUUUCAUCUUGAAUUGUAACUCCCACAAUUCCCACGUGUCGUAGGAGGAACCUGGUGGGA